rnacentral:rRNA from 1 species
CCAGCAGCCGCGGUAAUACGGAGGGAGCUAGCGUUGUUCGGAUAUACUGGGCGUAAAGCGCACGUAGGCGGAUAUUUAAGUCAGGGGUGAAAUCCCGCAGCUCAACUGCGGAACUGCCUUUGAUACUGGGUAUCUUGAGUAUGGAAGAGGUUAGUGGAAUUGCGAGUGUAGAGGUGAAAUUCGUAGAUAUUCGCAGGAACACCAGUGGCGAAGGCGGCUGACUGGUCCAUUACUGACGCUGAGGUGCGAAAGCGUGGGGAGC